rnacentral:misc_RNA from 1 species
CAAGGGAAGUUCCAAAUGGUGGUCGUCAGACACACAGGCCAUGCUAUACAGGAAGAUGUGCCUGAUGAAUUUGUCUCUUUGAUGCUCAAUUUCAUUUCCCAUAACCGAAUAGGCCCAAAUGGAAUUGAGAUUCCUGGACUUCGUCGACCUCCUCAGUCAAAACCUUGAAUACUGGAGUGAUGCAAAUUAAUAAUUGAAUAGCUUGGCUCAGUAACUUUUAGUAUCACGAAUCAAAGCUUAGAGAUGUUUUAAUGGAGAUUGUACAUAAAG